CCCGUAAACCAGUUAACCCUCCCAACCCAACCCACGAACCUGUUAAAACAUGAAUUACUGAAAUCUUUGGGUUUUAUGUAUUUGGGCUGUAAGUCAUAAAAUCAUUUUACUUUAAUCAUUUGUAUUCACUAUAUAAUUGGAGACUUCCACCCACUUUCUCAUCCUGUCACCUUUUCUCUCCUCUCUCACUCUCUCGGUCUUACUCUCUAACAUAAAACUCUAGUCUCUCACUUCGCCGAUCGCUGAUCACUUUGCUUCCCCAGUUGCCGCUUACUCUCCUUCCCCGGUCAUCCGCUCGCUCUGCUUCCCCGGUCACUCUGAUUCAAUACAUUGUCGAAGGUGGAAGAUCAAUUUGAUGUGCUUGUGGAUACUCCAACCUCACCCUGCUUCACCAGGAACUCCAACAAGUUUGAUGCUUUGAUAGGGGUAGCGCAUUAUAAACUAGCGUUGAACAAUUAUAUAUGCGUUUGUAUUUGAAUUUUAGUUUUAUGUCAAGAAUUUUGGAUUUGGUAAUGUACUAGCCUUAAUUUCAGAUUUGGUGACAUAUUAAGACUUAAUGAUUUGUAAUAGGGCAUUCAUUAAUGGAAAAUAUUGCCAAUUUGAGGCUUUUUUUUUA